CCUACGGGUGGCAGCAGUGAGGAAUAUUGGUCAAUGGGCGCGAGCCUGAACCAGCCAAGUAGCGUGAAGGAUGACGGCCCUACGGGUUGUAAACUUCUUUUAUAAAGGAAUAAAGUGAGGCACGUGUGCCGUUUUGUAUGUACUUUAUGGAUAAGGAUCGGCUAACUCCGUGCCAGCAGCCGCGGUAAUACGGAGGAUCCGAGCGUUAUCCGGAUUUAUUGGGGUUAAAGGGAGCGUAGAUGGGUUGUUAAGUCAGUUGGGAAAGGUUGCGGCUCAACCGUAAAAUGGCAAUUGAUACGGGCAGUCUUGAGUACAGUUGAGGUAGGCGUAAUUCGUGUUGUAGCGG
rnacentral:rRNA from 1 species